CGUCAAGUCCUCAUGGCCCUUACAUCCCGGGCUACGCACGUGCUACAAUGGCAGGUACAGAGGGCUGCGAAGCCGCGAGGUGGAGACGAAUCCCAGAAAACCUGUCUCAGUCCGGAUUGAAGUCUGCAACUCGACUUCAUGAAGGCGGAAUCGCUAGUAACCGCGAAUCAGCAGGUCGCGGUGAAUACGUUCCCGGACCUU
rnacentral:rRNA from 1 species